rnacentral:tRNA from 1 species
AAUCCGUCGACUUUAGAAAUCGUGAAGGGUUCAAGUCCCUCUAUCCCCA